AAAGAAGUGGGUGGUGUUGGCUCUGCACAUUGGAGGAAGAAAUGCACAGAGCCAGAGAAGACUUGAGCAGGGCUGGAGGCUGACAGGAAGGAGUUACUGCAGCUGGGAGAGAGGAAUGGGCUUACUGAUGGAGCACCAACCUGCUGGAGGUCAACCGUCAACUGCUGAAUCCAUAACAGUCGGGUUCUCUGUUGCCAGAGAGGUUUUAGCUUUGGAAAGAAAUGGGGCACUGUGUUCUCAGAAACAGCAGAGGGGGCUAAGAAGAAAGAGUGUGUUUUGAGGGGAGAACAGGGAAAUCGAGAGUGAAACUGUCCUUCCCACCAUCUCUUAGAGUGAGAGAGCCAGGUGCUUGAACACAGAACAUCUCACUUAACUCUUAGCACAAUCCUUAAGAGCCAAAUGUGUGAUCCCCCUCCAGAAAAGACUUGAGUCUUUACAGUUGGAAUUUCCGUGUCGUGAGUGACAGGAUCUUGGUCCAUCACCCAGGCUGGAAUACAGUGGUGCAAUUAUAGUUCACUGCGGCCUCAAAUUCCUGCACUCAACAGAUCCUCCCACCUCAGCCUCGCAACUGGCUGGGACUACAGGGAUGCACCACCACACCUGGCUAAUUUUUAACUCUUUCGUAGGAAUGAGGUCUUGCUGUGUUGCCCAGGCUGGUCUCGAACUCUGGGGGUCAAGAGAUCCUCCCAUCUCGGCCUUCCAAAGUGUUGGGAUUACAGGCACGCACCACCACACCUGGCUACAUGCCUAAUUUAACAUGAGCUAGAGUUAGGUUUGGCCAUCCCUAGUGUUCAGUGGAGUUGUAGAGUUAGUCUCAAAUGCCAGAGUGAAAGUCCUUGCCUAUCACUCCCUCAUGGGGUAACCAUGGUGGAGCUGCCCAAUUUCCUCAUCUCAGAAGUGAAUAUAAUAGCUUCUACCUCAUAGGGUUGUUGUGAGAAUUGCAUGAGGAAACCAUGGAAAGGAAUUCAUAGAGUACUUAGAAAGGCAGUAAGUACAGGGACAGAUUUGGGUUUCAUGGGACUUGAAGACUACACAACUUCGGAAGCCCUCUUUAAUGAAAAGAAGAUAAAUCUUACUUUUGCAAGUUUUAUAUGAAUAUGUGACUAUGUGAACACAUUGCUCAGGUCCUCCCCUCGCCCGCACACAAGGUCUAGAAAAAGGCUUAUUAAAGUGAGACAUCCUGAAGCUUAAGCGUCACCAGCUUCAAGUUCAACCCACCUCUGAAUAAAUGCUUCAAAUAAAU
rnacentral:lncRNA from 10 species